UACAGAGGUCUCAAGCGUUGUUCGGAUUCAUUGGGCGUAAAGGGUGCGUAGGUGGCGCUGUAAGUCGGGUGUGAAAUUUCGGAGCUUAACUCCGAAACUGCAUUCGAUACUGCGGUGCUUGAGGACUGGAGAGGAGACUGGAAUUCAUGGUGUAGCAGUGAAAUGCGUAGAGAUCAUGAGGAAGACCAGUGGCGAAGGCGGGUCUCUGGACAGUUCCUGACACUGAGGCACGAAGGCCAGGGGAGCAAACGGGAU
rnacentral:rRNA from 1 species